rnacentral:rRNA from 1 species
GCAGCAGUAGGGAAUAUUGCACAAUGGGCGAAAGCCUGAUGCAGCAACGCCGCGUGCGUGAUGAAGGCCUUCGGGUCGUAAAGCGCUUUUAGAGGGGAUGAAUCAAGACAGUACCUUCAGAAUAAGGAUCGGCUAACUACGUGCCAGCAGCCGCGGUAAAACGUAGGAUCCGAGCGUUAUCCGGAAUCACUGGGCGUAAAGGGCGUGUAGGCGGUUUAGCAAGUCGGUCAUGAAAGCUCCCGGCUCAACUGGGAGAGGUUGUUCGAUACUGCUAGGCUAGAGGGCAAGAGAGGGAGGUGGAAUUCCCGGUGUAGAGGUGAAAUGCGUAGAUAUCGGGAGGAACACCAGUGGCGAAGGCGGCCUCCUGGCUUGCACCUGACGCUGAGACGCGAAAGCGUGGGGAGCGAACGGGAUUAGAAACCCCGGUAGUCCACGCCGUAAACGAUGUCAACUAGGUGUCGGGGGUAUAAAAUCCGUCGGUACCGGAGCUAACGCAUUAAGUUGACCGCCUGGGGACUACGAUCGCAAGAUUAAAACUCAAAGGAAUUGACGGGGACCCGCACAAGCAGCGGAGCGUGUGGUUUAAUUCGAGGCUACGCGAAGAACCUUACCAGGGAUUGACAUGUACGUAGUAGGGAAGUGAAAACGGACCGACCCUUCGGGGAGCGUACACAGGUGAUGCAUGGCUGUCGUCAGCUCGUGCCGUGAGGUGUCAGGUUAAGUCCUGUAACGAGCGCAACCCCUGUCGUGUGUUAUACGUGUCACACGAGACUGCCGGUGUCAAACCGGAGGAAGGCGGGGAUGACGUCAAGUCAGCAUGUCCUUCAUAUCCUGGGCUACACACACGCUACAAUGGUCGGGACAAUAGGCAGCCAAGCCGCGAGGCGGAGCUAAUCCUCUAAACCCGAUCUCAGUUCGGAUUGUAGGCUGCAACUCGCCUGCAUGAAGUCGGAGUUGCUAGUAAACGCGCGUCAGCAACAGUGCGUUGAAUACGUUCCCGGGUCUUGUACACACCGCCCGUCACGUCAUGGAAGUUGGCAACACCUGAAGCCGGUGUCCUAACCGCAAGGAGGGAGCCGUCUAAGGUGGGGUUGAUGACUGGGACGAAGUCGUAACAAGGUAGCUGUAGCGGAAGCUGCGGCUG